AGCACGGCUUCGCAGUGCGCACACGGGGGGCCUGCUCCCAGAGAUGCUGCGAGGAAAGUCCACGUGCCUUGGUGCAGAGAGUGCGAGUGGGAGACCACAGAGCUCGUGCCAGACCUCCAGUGGUGAUGCUUCUCGCGGAGCCUUGGUGGCGGGCUCGAGCCCUUGGCAGCAGCACAGACAUGCCGUGAGC
rnacentral:RNase_MRP_RNA from 1 species